CAAGUACCACGGCUAUGAAGAACUGCUGACA
rnacentral:piRNA from 1 species